UAAUUCUAGAGCUAAUACAUGCUAAAAGCCCCGACUUCGGAAGGGGCGUAUUUAUCAGAAUCAGAACCAAUGCCCUUCGGGGCUCCCUGGUGGCUCAUGAUAACUCCACAGAUCGCAUGGCCUUGCGCCGGCGAUGGCUCAUUCAAAUUUCUUCCCUAUCAACUUUCGACGGUACGGUCUUGGCCUACCGUGGUUGCAACGGGUGACGGAGGGUUAGGGCUCGACCCCGGAGAGGGAGCCUGAGAAACGGCUACCACAUCCAAGGAAGGCAGCAGGCGCGCAAAUUAUCCAAUCCCGACUCGGGGAGAUAGUGACAAUAAAUACCGAUACAGGGCUCUUUUGGGCCCCGUAAUUGGAAUGAGUACAAUUUAAACCUCUUAACGAGGAACAAUUGGAGGGCAAGUCUGGUGCCAGCAGCCGCGGUAAUUCCAGCUCCAAUAGCGUAUAUUAAAGUUGUUGUGGUUAAAAAGCUCGUAGUCGAACCUCGAGCCCGGCCGGCCGGUCCGCCUCACCGCGUGCACUGGUCUGGCCGAGCUCUUCCCUCUGCGGAACCUCAUGUCCUUAACUGGGCGUGCUGGGGAGGCAGGACUUUUACUUUGAAAAAAUUAGAGUGCUCAAGGCAGGCCAAUGCUCGGAUACAUUAGCAUGGAAUAAUAGAAUAGGACGUUGGUUCUAUUUUGUUGGUUUCUAGGACCGCCGUAAUGAUCAAUAGGGACGGUCGGGGGCAUCAGUAUUCAGCCGCGAGAGGUGAAAUUCUUAGACCGGCUGAAGACUAACUACUGCGAAAGCAUUUGCCAAGGACGUUUUCGCUGAUCAGGAACGAAAGUUAGGGGAUCGAAGACGAUCAGAUACCGUCGUAGUCUUAACCAUAAACGGUGCCGACUUGGGAUCGGGCGCUGUUCUCUCUAGACGCGCUCGGCACCAUUCGAGAAAUCAAAGUGCGUGGGCUCCAGGGGGAGUAUGGCGGCAACGCUGAAACUUAAAGAAAUUGACGGAAGGGCACCACCAGGGGUGGAACCUGCGGCUUAAUUUGACUCAACACGGGGAAACUCACCAGGUCCGGACACAAUGAGGAUUGACAGAUUGAGAGCUCUUUCUUGAUUUUGUGGGUGGUGGUGCAUGGCCGUUCUUAGUUGGUGGGGUGACUUGUCUGCCUAAUCGCGAUAACGAACGAGACCUUGACUGCUAAAUAGCACGCGCCGCCUCGGCGGUGUCGCGGCUUCUUAGUGGGACUAUCGGCUCAAGCCGAUGGAAGUUCGAGGCAAUAACAGGUCUGUGAUGCCCUUAGAUGUCCUGGGCCGCACGCGCGUGACACUGACAGAGCCAGCGAGUUCUUCCCUUGGCCGGAAGGCCCGGGUAAUCUUGUGAAACUCCGUCGUGAUGGGGAUAGAGCAUUGCAAUUGUUGCUCUUCAACGAGGAAUCCCUAGUAAGCGCAAGUCAUCAGCUUGCGUUGAUUACGUCCCUGCCCUUUGUACACACCGCCCGUCGCUACUACCGAUUGAAUGGCUCAGUGAGGUUUUCGGACUGGCCCAGGAAGGCGGGAGACUGCUAUCCAGGGCCGGAAAGUUGCCCAAACUCGGUCAUUUAGAGGAAGUAAA
rnacentral:rRNA from 1 species